UUCUUUUCUUCUUUUUCUU
rnacentral:sRNA from 1 species